GACGAACGCUGGCGGCGUGCCUAAUACAUGCAAGUAGAACGCUGAAGAGAGGAGCUUGCUCUUCUUGGAUGAGUUGCGAACGGGUGAGUAACGCGUAGGUAACCUACCUUGUAGAGGGGGAUAACUAUUGGAAACGAUAGCUAAUACCGCAUAACAAUGGAUGACUCAUGUAAUUUAUUUGAAAGGGGCAAAUGCUCCACUAAAAGAUGGACAUGCGUUGUAUUAGCUAGUAGGUGAGGUAACGGCUGACCUAGGCGCCGAAACAUAGCCGACCUGAGAGGGUGAUCGGCCACACUGGGACUGAGACACGGCCCAGACUCCUACGGGAGGCAGCAGUAGGGAAUCUUCGGCAAUGGGGGCAACCCUGACCGAGCAACGCCGCGUGAGUGAAGAAGGAUUUCGGAUCGUAAAGCUCUGUUGUAAGUCAAGAACGAGUGUGAGAGUGGAAAGUUCACACUGUGACGGUAGCUUACCAGAAAGGGACGGCUAACUACGUGCCAGCAGCCGCAGUAA
rnacentral:rRNA from 1 species